CACGUAGGGUGCGAGCGUUGUCCGGAAUUAUUGGGCGUAAAGAGCUCGUAGGCGGUUUGUUGCGUCGGCUGUGAAAUCCCGAGGCUCAACCUCGGGUCUGCAGUCGAUACGAGCAAACUAGAGUGUUGCAGGGGAGACUGGAAUUCCUGGUGUAGCGGUGAAAUGCGCAGAUAUCAGGAGGAACACCGGUGGCGAAGGCGGGUCUCUGGGCCGAUACUGACGCUGAGGAGCGAAAGCGUGGGGAGCAAACAGG
rnacentral:rRNA from 1 species